rnacentral:lncRNA from 1 species
ACUUCCUGUGAUCCUUUCCGGAGCCCUUCAGCCUGGCUGGCUCUCCAGCCAUCUCGGAAAGCUUCUCUUUCCUAAACCCUCCAUACUCGCAGGUUCAGCUACAGAGGUAACUGCAGGCUCAGGUUCUCCAGGGUGGCCAGCCCACCAGCCCACCGUCCCGGUGCAGCAGUGCCUCUCCAGCGACAGCUCCACCGCGAGCCUGGCGGGCUCCCGACCUUGCUCCCCAGCACGUCGUCUCCAAGCCACGGUCUCACCACCCUCCAUCAGCCUCGGGCGACACCAAGGGGAACAGAGCGCUGGAGCUCCUCGAAGUCCUCCCGACCUUAGCGGGGCUCCGUUCAUCCUCCCGGACGUGGCCAGGCCCCGCUCUGGCCCCGCGCCCGCCCCUCCCGCGGGGCUGCCCCUGUCUCUCUGCCGGAGACCCGGACUCAGUGAGUGAGCGCAGCGCGGCCAUAGGGCUUCCUGCAGCGGGGUCUCAGCACGUCUUCUGGCUGGACUCUGGGGUCUCCUGGCCUGGCUGUGUCUCCUGGUUCUCAGCGCUCGCCUCCCACGCGGGGCGGAGUAUGGGAGUGGGCUGCUCCCGCGGAAGAAUCCUGGGGAAGUUGAGGCACUGGCUCCCGCUGUUCAGAACACUGCCCGACGUCCCCAGAGCUAGCCACUCCUCCUUCCCACCCACCCGCAGCACUCUCGAGGUCGCAACGGCAGUCACCAGGUCCCGGGGCCUGCGUUCAGCUGCUUGAUCCGACUAGGUUUGGCUUCGGACCCGAAUGGGUCAGCUCCACGCCCGAUGGAGUUUUUCAAGCUGGUGCCUGCACGUGCCCCCGCCGCGGGGCAUGAAGCCGUGGGCUGCGCCCAAACUGCCUCACAACCACCGCUGACCCGAAGCCUCUCUCACUCCGUCCACUGUUAGAAACCUGAAGCUGCCCUCUGUGAGAAAGCGUUGGGAUUGAAUCCAGACUUUUGGGGAACCUUAACAAUAAAGAAUACAAAAUAUUGACUAAAAAUUGGAUUUGAAAGUGA